GAAUCCCUUGUAGUUUCAAAAUUCAGAAACAUGUCAUGUGAAAGAACAUCAAUCACCGGUGAAGCAAUGAGAGCGGCGAGAAAAAAUCCGAAAGCAGAAAUGGCAACUAUAGCGAUGGCGUUUGGAGGGAAGGAAAAUCAAAGAGAGGAAGAGA